UUUUUUUUGAAAGAAACCUACCUACCCUUGACAUGCCAGGAACUUUCCAGAGAUGGGUUGGUGCCCUAAAGGGACCCUGGACACAGGUGCGGCAUGGCUUUCCUCAGCUCGUGUCGUGAGAUGUGGGGUUAAGUCCCGCAACGAGCGCAACCCUUCCCUUUUGUUCCCAUCAUUCAGUUGGGCACUCUAAUGAGACUGCCGGUGACAAACCGGAGGAAGGUGGGGAUGACGUCAAGUCCUCAUGGCCCUUAUGGGUAGGGCUUCACACGUCAUACAAUGGCCGGUCCAGAGGGUUGCCAACCCGCGAGGGGGAGCUAAUCCCAGAAAGCCGGUCGUAGUCCGGAUCGCAGUCUGCAACUCGACUGCGUGAAGUCGGAAUCGCUAGUAAUCGUGACAGCACGACCCCCCC
rnacentral:rRNA from 1 species